ACUUGUGUGUGUGCUCUGGGGCGACUGGGAGAAAAGAAAGAACACCAAAACCCUUGUUUCAUCAAAAGAUCAAAUUGAAGCCUAAUAAGAAGUCUAAAUUCAUGCAUGAAUCCAUAAUUGUGAUCCCCAAAUCAAAAGAUCAUAAGGCAAAUCGGGCAAAACGUCAAGUGGCAAGCAGGAAAGGACACGCGGUUGAAGGAAAAGCUUUAAGUGCUAGGUUGUUCGAAAUCACUUUUGGAUGAUGAUCAAGCUACCUUUAAAGAAUCAAACACGUAGAAGGAUCAAGCUUCCGCUUUUGUUUAAAUGGUUUAUGUAAAUGUAAUAACGUAUAUGUUUAGUUAAUGUUCUUUUAAACAUGAACCCUUUUGAUAACUUGAUAUUUUG